rnacentral:rRNA from 1 species
UACGUAGGGUGCGAGCGUUGUCCGGAAUUAUUGGGCGUAAAGAGCUUGUAGGCGGUUUGUCGCGUCUGCUGUGAAAAUCCGGGGCUCAACCCCGGACUUGCAGUGGGUACGGGCAGACUAGAGUGUGGUAGGGGAGACUGGAAUUCCUGGUGUAGCGGUGGAAUGCGCAGAUAUCAGGAGGAACACCGAUGGCGAAGGCAGGUCUCUGGGCCACUACUGACGCUGAGGUGCGAAAGCGUGGGGAGCAAACAGG